rnacentral:rRNA from 1 species
UGGGGAAUCUUGGACAAUGGGCGCAAGCCUGAUCCAGCCAUGCCGCGUGAGUGAAGAAGGCCUUCGGGUUGUAAAGCUCUUUUACCAGGGACGAUAAUGACGGUACCUGGAGAAUAAGCCCCGGCAAACUUCGUGCCAGCAGCCGCGGUAAUACGAAGGGGGCUAGCGUUGUUCGGAAUUACUGGGCGUAAAGCGCACGUAGGCUGAUUGUUAAGUCAGGGGUGAAAUCCCAGAGCUCAACUCUGGAACUGCCCUUGAUACUGGCGAUCUCGAGUCCGGAAGAGGUUAGUGGAAUUCCCAGUGUAGAGGUGAAAUUCGUAGAUAUAGGAAGGAACACCAGUGGCGAAGGCGACCACCUGGACUGAUACUGACACUGAGGUGCGAAAGCGUGGGGAGCAAACAGGAUUAGAUACCCGAGUAGUCCCUGAGCGGGCUGGCAAGGCG